rnacentral:tmRNA from 1 species
GGGGGUGACUUGGCUUCGACAGGAGUAGUGAGGUCACGGUGGCAUGCAGCUUUGGGCAAAGCUUAAAAAGCCUACAAAUAAAUUAAACGCAAACAACGUUAAAUUCGCUCCUGCUUACGCUAAAGUAGCGUAAGUUCAGUUGAGCCUUGCUUGAUUUUGAUACUAUCUAAAAAUCGUAGCGAGUAAUCUUUGAUAGUGUAGUUUUCAAGUUUGACGAGCUUGGGAGCGAAGUUUAGUCUUAGCUUGGUUGAUCGCUUUGGGAAGUGAGCGUGACUAAGUGAAACUUUCACUUCUGCUAAGCAUGUAGAGGCUGUGGGUUUGUUAUUUUUGGACUGCGGUUCGAUCCCGCACACCUCCACCA